rnacentral:rRNA from 1 species
UACGUAGGGUGCAAGCGUUAAUCGGAAUUACUGGGCGUAAAGGGCGCGUAGGCGGCUUUAUAAGUCGGGGGUGAAAGCCUGUGGCUCAACCACAGAAUUGCCUUCGAUACUGUAUGGCUUGAGACCGGAAGAGGUAAGUGGAACUGCGAGUGUAGAGGUGAAAUUCGUAGAUAUUCGCAAGAACACCAGUGGCGAAGGCGGCUUACUGGUCCGGUUCUGACGCUGAGGCGCGAAAGCGUGGGGAGCAAACAGG